rnacentral:sRNA from 1 species
UUGUCUUACUUUGUGGUUUCCAGGUUGGGGAUCUGGAGCUGCAAUUAACAUUGUUGCCACGUUCAUCAAGACCUUGACCGUGACCAGAUGACAUCAAUAUGGUGGUCCAUCAUUCCAAGAUAGUCGACACUCCAUAAGCACAUGUCACUUGAUGAAGCUCGUGAGAGGAGCAUGUGGAGUCCAGCUUCAGUGUCUGCACACCACAGAAUGAGGAUGCUACCUACUCACUCUCGACUGCCACAGAGGCAGCCAGAACCAUAAAUAGUUGUCCUUUAUGGUCUUUCUGCAUUUGUUCUUACUUUUUUUUGUUAUUUUUCCCCCUCCUUUCCUCGAACCAUCUAAUAACAGAACUAGUGAAGUAUAAGCCAGGGGUUCAAA